UACGAAGGUGGCAAGCGUUGUUCGGAUUUACUGGGCGUACAGGGAGCGUAGGCGGUUGGGUAAGCCCUCCGUGAAAUCUCCGGGCCUAACCCGGAAAGUGCGGAGGGGACUGCUCGGCUAGAGGAUGGGAGAGGAGCGCGGAAUUCCCGGUGUAGCGGUGAAAUGCGUAGAGAUCGGGAGGAAGGCCGGUGGCGAAGGCGGCGCUCUGGAACAUUUCUGACGCUGAGGCUCGAAGGCCAGGGGGGCAAACGGG
rnacentral:rRNA from 1 species